CACAGCUUGAAUCUCCUCUCUCUCUCUCUCUCUCUCUACUCUCUCUCUCUCACUUAAUUACUGUAGUAGCCUCACACCACAUCUUAAAUAGUAGCCCCCAACUGCCCUUUAUUUUUACCCACCUCUCUCAUUUGCUUCAAUUUCUAGUGUGUGUGUUUGUAUGUAUGAAAAUGGAGUAGUAUAUACUGUGUGUGUGUGUGUGUUCUGAGAGUGGAGUCUAAAUAAAUAUUCAUGGUUGUGUUUAUCAAAGGGCUUCUACCAGAGUUUUUUGGCAUUCUGUCCACCUCCUGCUUUUUGAAUUAAUUUCUUAAUUAAGUAAUUAAUUAAUUGAUUUCUGUAAUUAAUUAAUAAAUAUGAAGGAGGUGGGCAUACUGCCAACUGAGUUCUGGUUUGUUUCUCUUUGCUAAACCCUCGUGAAAUUUUCAUUUCCUUUAUUACAUCUUUCUUCGUAAACAUCAAGAAUAAGUGAUAAUGUAUGAGUGAUUAUUAGCGUGGCAAAUGGUGAAGAACUGAAGUACUGUUUGAAGUUGAAGACUGAUCAAGAAGCUAAGCAUAUAUAUAUAUAUAUAUAUAUAUAUAUAUGUAUAUAUAUAUAUAUAAUGGAAACCCUAGCAUUUGAUGAGAAGCUUCUGUUUUCUUCUGUCUUUUCUAGUUUUGUACAUUGUUCAACUGUUAUCAAGAAAUUCUCCCAUCUCUCUCUCUAUACCGAGCUGAGGAAGAGAGAAAACACCAGAGAUCAUUAAUUAAUAAACAAUGCUUCUGAUUUUUGUACUCAUCAA